rnacentral:miRNA from 5 species
CAAUGUGUCUGCAGUGCAGUA